AAGUGCUGGGGGUCUGAGAAAUGAUUUCUCCAGAAAAGUGUAGCCAUGAAGGUCAACAUUUUCCAACAAGACUCUCAUAUUGGCUAUAAAAAAAAAUUGAUAAUUUGGAGAAGGAUCUCCUUCUGGACAAGCAUGAGGAGAGAAGAGGAGGGGUAAGAACAGAUAUGGGGGUGAUAGGAGAGCUUGGCUAUGUUGGUCUGGCUUGAGUUCAUAAGUCAAAUAGCCUCUUAGUGGAGGCAAGUUUCCUGCAUUCUAACAGUAGUUGCUAGAGGCAAUAAAAGACAAAGGCCAUUACAAAAAAAUCAAAUGCAAAGGAAUCUAUUGGUUAGAACAAUCAAUGGUUUUGAGGAGCCAUGCUGUACAGCUCAAUUAUGUUUGCUGUGCUGGGAAAGUCAUCUUUAUCUUGUAUUUCUAUUGCUUGAAGACAGUCAGACAGCUCUGAUCAAACAGUCUUCACCCGUCACUACACAAGACGGUGGUUGGCUUUCAUGGUGGCAAGACGGACUGAUGGCCACAGAAGUCUGGUGCAGGAAGAGGGGUUUAUGAGGACCAUGUUCUCAGGGCUGCCAUCUUCUUUGUAAAAUAUGGCCCUUGGGAGAGCAAGCUUGCCUUUGGGGUGUGCUGAGCAGCCAGCACCACACAGUUAUCCUCACAGUGAUGUGUGCGGAUGCCCGGGCUACAUGUUAAAGGACAACAGCUCUCCGUUCAGAGUUCACGUCUCCUGUAGCCGUAGAACCGAUGCAUUUCAAGAUGACGAGCCACCUUUAAUAUUUCUAGGUUGACUGCCCAGUCCUACCCAGGAGAAAGGUAAGGUCUAACAAAGAAAAGUGAUUCUCAGCCUCACAGGGUGUACCUUGGUCCCAGGGUCAGGUGGCACAGCUUGCCACUACACCAAGCUUGUAGAAUGUAAUUUUUGUUAGUUGGAAUUUAAUUAAUGUCAUAGUUGUAUGAACAUGAAGGAAAUUAUAUAUAUAUGAAUAUAUAAAUUUUAUAAAUAUAUGAUAGGUAGAUAGGUAUACAUAGGUGGAUAGAUAGAUGAUAGAUAGAUAUACAAUUAGAUGGAUAUUGAUGAUUGAUAAUAGAUAGACGAUAGAUAAUAGAUAGAUGAUAGAUAAUAGAUGAUAGAUAUAUAGAUAGAUAGAUAGAUAGAUAGAUGAUGCAUAGAAUGCAGUGAUAAAAUGCACCAACCUGAAAAUGUAGAGUUAAGAAAAAGAGAACAUGGAGUUUUCCACUCUGUAACCCUGAGGCAAAGGAAAAAAAAAUAUGAAUGAAAAAGCAAAGAAUGGCAAAAAUAAAGAUUUUUAUCUAGAAUCUCCCUUCCAGCAAAAGAGAAAGUGGUGCCAGCAGCAUAUUCAGCAUUUCCUGUGCAUUUGCAUAGGCCAUGUACUAGGAGACUAUUGCAAGAAGAUGAAAAUCAGUGUUGACUGUUUUAAUCCGUUAUCAACAGGCACGGAGCAUGGCGACAUUUUGAAGGGUUGCAUGUAAUCGCAAUUUCUGGGUUUUUACUUUUGUUUCUUAUGGUCCAGUCCCCGACUUUCUAUUUGAUGGAAUGCAACUCAUGAGGUUUCCUUAUUGAAAUAAAAUCCUCUGUUCUCUCCCUUGCACAGGAGCAAAGCAGGCGAGAUGUAGGACAAGUUCGUUGUCUGGAUUCAGAACCAUGGAGGGGCGGGAGUUCGGGGAUACUCCAUUUGGGAGCUAGCUGUCCUGCUUUCCCUCACCACCAGACA
ensembl:lncRNA